CUAUCCGCCAGAGAACUACUAGCAACAGCUUAAAACUCAAAGGACUUGGCGGUGCUUUACAUCCCUCUAGAGGAGCCUGUUCUAUAAUCGAUAAACCCCGAUACACCUCACCACCUCUCGCUAAAUCAGUCUAUAUACCGCCAUCUUCAGCAAACCCUAAAAAGGAAGAAUAGUAAGCACAAACAUCUUAACAUAAAAAAGUUAGGUCAAGGUGUAACCCAUGAGGUGGGAAGCAAUGGGCUACAUUUUCUAUAUCUAGAACAACCCUUUACGAAAGUCCUUAUGAAAUUAAGAACCAAAGGAGGAUUUAGUAGUAAAUUGAGAAUAGAGUGC
rnacentral:rRNA from 1 species